UGGGGAAUAUUGCACAAUGGGCGAAAGCCUGAUGCAGUAACGCCGCGUGAGUGAUGAAGGCCUUCGGGUUGUAAAGCUCUGUCUUUUGGGACGAUAAUGACGGUACCAAAGGAGGAAGCCACGGCUAACUACGUGCCAGCAGCCGCGGUAAUACGUAGGUGGCAAGCGUUGUCCGGAUUUUACUGGGCGUAAAGGAUGCGUAGGCGGAUUUUUAAGUGAGAUGUGAAAACCCUAAGCUUAACUUGGGGACUGCAUUUCAUACUGGAAAUCUAGAGUGCGGGAGAGGAGAAUGGAAUUCCUAGCGUAGCGGUGAAAUGCGUAGAGAUUAGGAAGAACACCAGUGGCGAAGGCGAUUCUCUGGACCGUAACUGACGCUGAGGCAUGAAAGCGUGGGUAGCAAACAGGAUUAGAUACCCUGGUAGUCCACGCCGUAAACGAUGAGUACUAGGUGUAGGAGGUAUCGACCCCUUCUGUGCCGCAGUUAACACAAUAAGUACUCCGCCUGGGAAGUACGAUCGCAAGAUUAAAAACUUAAAUGAAUUGACGGGGGUCAUAGCUG
rnacentral:rRNA from 1 species